GAUGAACGCUGGCUACAGGCUUAACACAUGCAAGUCGAGGGGAAACGACGGGGAAGCUUGCUUCCCCGGGCGUCGACCGGCGCACGGGUGAGUAACGCGUAUCCAACCUGCCUCUGACUGAGGGAUAACCCGUCGAAAGUCGGCCUAAUACCUCAUGGCAUCGUCUGCGGGCAUCCAACGACGAUUAAAGAUUUCAUCGGUCAGGGAUGGGGAUGCGUCUGAUUAGCUUGUUGGCGGGGUAACGGCCCACCAAGGCUACGAUCAGUAGGGGUUCUGAGAGGAAGGUCCCCCACAUUGGAACUGAGACACGGUCCAAACUCCUACGGGAGGCAGCAGUGAGGAAUAUUGGUCAAUGGGCGAGAGCCUGAACCAGCCAAGUAGCGUGCAGGAAGACGGCCCUAUGGGUUGUAAACUGCUUUUAUGCGGGGAUAAAGUGAGGGACGUGUCCUUCAUUGCAGGUACCGCAUGAAUAAGGACCGGCUAAUUCCGUGCCAGCAGCCGCGGUAAUACGGAAGGUCCGGGCGUUAUCCGGAUUUAUUGGGUUUAAAGGGAGCGUAGGCCGUGGAUUAAGCGUGUUGUGAAAUGCAGGUGCUCAACGUCUGCACUGCAGCGCGAACUGGUCCACUAGAGUGUGCGCAACGCAGGCGGAAUUCGUCGUGUAGCGGUGAAAUGUUUAGAUAUGACGAAGAACUCCGAUUGCGAAGGCAGCUUGCGGGAGCACAACUGACGCUGAAGCUCGAAAGUGCGGGUAUCGAACAGG
rnacentral:rRNA from 1 species